rnacentral:rRNA from 1 species
AUGGACGGGUCGGAGCUCUCCCGCUGCAUCGCCGGUGAGGCUUGUGUACAGGGAACCGCCGGUGAGGCUUGUGUGAAGGGCGCCGCCGGCCUCAGCUCUCGUCUUGGAUCGAUCCCCUCCUCCUUCCCUCGUGCGCCACACCAGGAGAGGAGCGCCGCGCCCCAGCUCCUCGUCAUCGAGCCGCCUCCUGCCCCGAGCCGAGAGCUCGCACCGCAGACCCGGUGCGUCCCAACCGAUCCUUCGGCCGCAGACUCCGCGAGGAAGGCGGCGGCGGCGGUAUCCCCGCUCGUGCGUGGGGAAGAGGAAGGGGAUCUGCCCUGA